rnacentral:rRNA from 1 species
CAACUGGGAUUGCCUUAGUAACGGCGAGUGAAGCGGCAAAAGCUCAAAUUUGAAAUCUGGUACCUUUGGUGCCCGAGUUGUAAUUUGUAGAGUACCACUUUGGGACUAUACUUUGCCUAUGUUCCUUGGAACAGGACGUCAUGGAGGGUGAGAAUCCCGUAUGGCGAGGGUGUUAGUUCUUUGUAAAGGGUGCUCGAAGAGUCGAGUUGUUUGGGAAUGCAGCUCUAAGUGGGUGGUAAAUUCCAUCUAAAGCUAAAUACAGGCGAGAGACCGAUAGCGAACAAGUACAGUGAUGGAAAGAUGAAAAGAACUUUGAAAAGAGAGUGAAAAAGUACGUGAAAUUGUUGAAAGGGAAGGGCAUUUGAUCAGACAUGGUGUUUUGCGCCCCUCGCUCCUUGUGGGUGGGGGACUCUCGCAGCUCACUGGGCCAGCAUCAGUUUUUGCGGCAGGACAAAACCUUGGGAAUGUAGCUGUGCGCCUCGGUGUACAAGUGUUAUAGCUCUUGGGAAUACUGCCAGCGGGGACUGAGGACUGCGAUACUUGUUAUCUA